UACGUAGGGGGCUAGCGUUGUCCGGAAUCAUUGGGCGUAAAGAGCGUGUAGGCGGCCCGAUAAGUCCGCCGUGAAAGUCCAGGGCUCAACCCUGGAAUGCCGGUGGAAACUGUCGGGCUGGAGUCCGGAAGAGGCGAGUGGAAUUCCUGGUGUAGCGGUGAAAUGCGCAGAUAUCAGGAGGAACACCAAUAGCGAAGGCAGCUCGCUGGGACGGUACUGACGCUGAGACGCGAAAGCGUGGGGAGCAAACAGG
rnacentral:rRNA from 1 species